GCUGCGGUAGCUCAUUCGGUAGAACGCAUCCAUGGUAAGGAUGAGGUCGGCGGAUCACAACCGCCUCGCAGCUCCA
rnacentral:tRNA from 1 species